UUAUCUCAGUCUGGUGAAAGUUUUUCGAUUGCGUUCUACAUUAUACUGUUUCACAUCGCUGUUGCAGUUGUAUAAAAUACAUUGCUAAGUUUGCGCUUCUUUGUAGACUGCAGUUAGAGAACCUGCCUCUAAAAUUUUCUCUUUCUUUAUAUGUUUCCAGAUUAUUUAUGGUCCGUGGAAAAUUAUAUGAGCUACUUGUUAAUUGUAUUCCUCCUGAAAUCAUUCUGAAGAAGUUACUGUCAGAAUUACUGAAAAAGUUGGACUCUGAAUUGAAACAUGAAGUAUGUCAUUGGGCUGCAUACUAUGAGCACAGGAUGCGUCUUGGGCAGAAGGCCAUAUUCCACAUAGAAGCAUUUGUGGCUAAGUUCAUGAGCAUCUACAAGGGGUUCCUCAUUGCAACAUUUUCCUGAAUGAUCGCGAGCAGGAGUAACCCCACUAAAAGUUUUUGACAUUGGGAGGACUCUUCAUGUUUGCAUCGUCACCAAGCAGCUGAUGUUUAGCUUGAUCCCUUUGUUUAUUUUCUUUAUAAUAUGGUGGAAAAACCUGUGAAUUGUAUUAAUCUAGCGGCCCCAAACCUUGUAUUCCCAAAGAUUAAAAAAGGGACCUUGUCUGCCAUCCAACGAAGAAGAGUUAAUGAAAAUGUCUAAAUUCUUUUCCAAGUGCUCAGCAGUAUGCAGGCCCAGGGCUGCAAAUAUGAUUAGUGUCGUCCCCACCCAGGUAGGUCCGGUUCAUCCCCAUGUUUUAGACCCAUGGAUCAGGUUUGGGUCCGAUAUGCGAUCUAUUUGAAAAAUUGGGUUAGGUUGGCGUCAACGUCUUCCUACCCAAUCAAAUCCGUGGAUGAACUAGACCUGGAGUGGCUCAAACACUGGAUGACUCGGUCUGGGACCUACAGAUCAAUAAUAAAAGCCAUUCAUUGUCAUGAUCUGAAGAUAUCCACUGUGCUCAUGAAUGGAAGAUUCGCUAUAUAGCAAAAACUGCCCAAGCUUCAGGAAGCUGUUCCCAGAAUAUGUAGACAUGUACCAAAAACAAGAGGUCCCAAAGGAGUCUCUAGCAUCACAGCAGAUGAGUGAACAUAUGAGCUCUCCUCCUUCCACUGUGGUUGAACAAGUUGCAAGACGUCAAGGUGAAGACAGAAAGAUUAUACAAAAUGCUGGAAAGCGAAAGCAGAUCCCAUUCUGGUUACUGCUGUUGAUGGUGUCAGUCUUCGGCAUUGUGAUGGCUUGGCCCUGCUGCAACCGUGACAUGAUCAGCAGAGAUUGCAUACUGACGGUAUGUGAGUUCUGCUGCAAAACUUUGAUCUUGAAAAUGUCAAGGGUCUUAGAUUCGUGUACUGAAGAAUUUUAUUAAGUUGCUCGAUGUCCUUUGACAUCUCUUGAUGAGCAUGAUGUAAUAUUCUAGAUAUCUAGUUUGUUACUGACUAGCAGCAUGGUGCCCUGCUUUUCCUCCAUAUUUUCUGUGGGUAUUGUUUCACGACUUUUGAUGUGCCAAAUCUAUGAAUCAUUACGACAAGAUUCCAGGAUGUGAUUUGAUUUGCUGCGAGGUAAAAUGGUUGAGAAUUUCAUCUCUUAAAUAGAGAGUAUAUGCUGGCUUUUUUUCCUUGGUUAAUAUCUUUUAUUGACAGAGGCUCUGUAAUGGGAAAAUGAGCGACUUCAAUUAUCUCUCCAGGGGAAAACAUGCAUGAUUUCCAUCCCAUUCUAAAGAAGGUUAGCAACCAGGUGCUAUCAAUAUCUGGGUCUCUUUAUUUGGAGAUGCAUUCUCUAAGAUCUGAAUCCAUUUUGAAUCUAGUAUCUCUGGUUGCUAAGCAAAGGGAUGUUACUAUUAGAGCAGGUCUCAAUCAUUUUAUUAUGCGUUGCUCCCAUUUUAUGCACUAGUUGGCACGAUUCCCUCUAAAAGCUAGUUGCGAACUGUUUAUGACAAAAUUAUUAAAAAAAGACAUGAUAUUGGUUGGUGGAGUACGUGUCUGCAUGGGUAAGCUGAUAAACUACGCCCAAACCCAUGAAAUUGAUUGGUGUUUAGUCGUGGAAGGCUCCAAUAGUCAAUGUGUUGGGUCCCCAAAAGACAGUCCCAGAAAACACUCACAAGAGAAUUUCUUCUUCUAGGGGAUUGUAAAUUGAUUCAACUCCCUUCCUCUACAUCUCUGGGUGCAAAAUUUGGUUCUCAGUCAUGAUUUCAUACUUUACAUUAAAUGGCGAUUACUUUGUUUACAAAUGUUUGGAGACACUAGUAUCAGCACUGGCCUCUCCACAGCUCAAUCAUCAUGACCAUUAAUCUUAGCAAUCAUAAUAUAUGAUCAAAAAGGUGUGAAAAAAAAGGUAGAGGAGCCCCUCAAACCUAAAUUUCAACCUAGGAGUUAGU